rnacentral:rRNA from 1 species
CUUACCAGGUCCGGACACAGUGAGGAUUGACAGAUUGAGAGCUCUUUCUUGAUUCUGUGGGUGGUGGUGCAUGGCCGUUUUUAGUUGGUGGAGUAAUUUGUCUGGUUAAUUCCGUUAACGAACGAGACCUUAACCUAUUAAAUAGUCGUGGGAACCCAGGUCUUUCAUCCCUCUUCAGCAAUGGGGGGGAAACCAUUAUCAUAUUGGUACCCUCUGGGUAUCGUGUGGUAGUGGUGAGGAUCUGAUAGUGUUCUUAUAGGCUUCUUAGAGGGACUCUUUGCAUCUUUAGCAAAUGGAAGUUUGAGGCAAAAAACAGGUCUGUGAUGCCCCUUCGAUGUUCUGGGCUGCACGCGCGUUACAAUGACGCAUGCAACGAGUUAUUAAAUUCCUGGCCCGAUGGGGUUGGGUAAUCUUUUUAAAGUGCGUCGUGAUGGGGAUAGAGCAUUGCAAUUAUUGUUCUUGAACGAGGAAUUCCUAGUAAUUGCAGGUCAUCAACCUGCGAUGAUUACGU